rnacentral:rRNA from 1 species
GACGAACGCUGGCGGCGUGCUUAACACAUGCAAGUCGAACGGAAAGGCCCUGCUUUUGUGGGGUGCUCGAGUGGCGAACGGGUGAGUAACACGUGAGUAACCUGCCCUUGACUUUGGGAUAACUUCAGGAAACUGGGGCUAAUACCGGAUAGGAGCUCCUGCUGCAUGGUGGGGGUUGGAAAGUUUCGACGGUUGGGGAUGGACUCGCGGCUUAUCAGCUUGUUGGUGGGGUAGUGGCUUACCAAGGCUUUGACGGGUAGCCGGCCUGAGAGGGUGACCGGCCACAUUGGGACUGAGAUACGGCCCAGACUCCUACGGGAGGCAGCAGUGGGGAAUAUUGCACAAUGGGCGGAAGCCUGAUGCAGCAACGCCGCGUGCGGGAUGACGGCCUUCGGGUUGUAAACCGCUUUCGCCUGUGACGAAGCGUGAGUGAUGGUAAUGGGUAAAGAAGCACCGGCUAACUACGUG